GAUGAACGCUAGCUACAGGCUUAACACAUGCAAGUCGAGGGGCAGCAUUUCAGUUUGCUUGCAAACUGGAGAUGGCGACCGGCGCACGGGUGAGUAACACGUAUCCAACCUGCCGAUAACUCGGGGAUAGCCUUUCGAAAGAAAGAUUAAUACCCGAUGGUAUAAUCAGACCGCAUGGUCUUGUUAUUAAAGAAUUUCGGUUAUCGAUGGGGAUGCGUUCCAUUAGGCAGUUGGUGAGGUAACGGCUCACCAAACCUUCGAUGGAUAGGGGUUCUGAGAGGAAGGUCCCCCACAUUGGAACUGAGACACGGUCCAAACUCCUACGGGAGGCAGCAGUGAGGAAUAUUGGUCAAUGGGCGCAGGCCUGAACCAGCCAAGUAGCGUGAAGGAUGACUGCCCUAUGGGUUGUAAACUUCUUUUAUAUGGGAAUAAAGUUUUCCACGUGUGGAAUUUUGUAUGUACCAUAUGAAUAAGGAUCGGCUAACUCCGUGCCAGCAGCCGCGGUAAUACGGAGGAUCCGAGCGUUAUCCGGAUUUAUUGGGUUUAAAGGGAGCGUAGGUGGACAGUUAAGUCAGUUGUGAAAGUUUGCGGCUCAACCGUAAAAUUGCAGUUGAUACUGGCUGUCUUGAGUACAGUAGAGGUGGGCGGAAUUCGUGGUGUAGCGGUGAAAUGCUUAGAUAUCACGAAGAACUCCGAUUGCGAAGGCAGCUCACUGGACUGCAACUGACACUGAUGCUCGAAAGUGUGGGUAUCAAACAGGAUUAGAUACCCUGGUAGUCCACACAGUAAACGAUGAAUACUCGCUGUUUGCGAUAUACAGUAAGCGGCCAAGCGAAAGCAUUAAGUAUUCCACCUGGGGAGUACGCCGGCAACGGUGAAACUCAAAGGAAUUGACGGGGGCCCGCACAAGCGGAGGAACAUGUGGUUUAAUUCGAUGAUACGCGAGGAACCUUACCCGGGCUUAAAUUGCAUUUGAAUAUAUUGGAAACAGUAUAGCCGUAAGGCAAAUGUGAAGGUGCUGCAUGGUUGUCGUCAGCUCGUGCCGUGAGGUGUCGGCUUAAGUGCCAUAACGAGCGCAACCCUUAUCUUUAGUUACUAACAGGUUAUGCUGAGGACUCUAGAGAGACUGCCGUCGUAAGAUGUGAGGAAGGUGGGGAUGACGUCAAAUCAGCACGGCCCUUACGUCCGGGGCUACACACGUGUUACAAUGGGGGGUACAGAAGGCAGCUACCUGGUGACAGGAUGCUAAUCCCAAAAGCCUCUCUCAGUUCGGAUCGAAGUCUGCAACCCGACUUCGUGAAGCUGGAUUCGCUAGUAAUCGCGCAUCAGCCAUGGCGCGGUGAAUACGUUCCCGGGCCU
rnacentral:rRNA from 1 species